GGUCUGGUGGUGUAGUUGGUUAUCACGUCAGUCUAACAGUUCGAAAGCCUUUCGGCUCUCUCGUCUGCCACACUGAAGGUCUCCGGUUCAAGUCCGGGCUAGAUCA
rnacentral:tRNA from 1 species